UGUUAUUCUCAACAAGCUUGCAGAAAGAAAAGUUCUUUUAAAAGAAGUUAUAGAAAUUAAGUUUAGGCUACUGGGGUGAAGUUGCUAGAAUCAGUGGACGAAGUGGUUACACUGGAUAAUAAACUAAAAGAUAAAACCGAGUAUACUAAUUUGCUUGAUAGUUUGAAAAAGAUUGGUGGUGGAAAGCCAAGAGAACAUGUUUUUUUGAUCAUGAAAAGGUUAUUUUCGAAUCAGUUACAGUCCAUAUUUAAUCGAAAAGGAAAUGGGGAAAAGAUAAGCAUAGAAAAUCUAGUAAAUAUAUGGAGUGUUUUACGAGAUAUCGGCGACGUGGAAGAAAAUGUUGACGGCAAUGAAGAAAUAUAAUUUCUUAUGUAUAUUUUUGUGAAAUAAAAAUUAAGUAA
rnacentral:lncRNA from 1 species